AUUUUUGUGGCCUACCCGGGUUUGUGCGCUUCCCUCUCCCUGGCGGCAUGGGCCCACAGGCCACAGCAGACAUCACCUUCUCCUUGGCUGCCAAUUCCACCUGCUUUCUAUCCUUGACUGGCCUCCGUGCCAACACCAGCACCACCCUUUUCUGGCUCAUCCUCCGCACCAACGGCACCCGGGUGCAGGGCAGCAUUCUCUCUGAACUUGGGGGCGUUUCUGUGCACAAGAAUGUCCCUCGCACCUCCUUCUCUCCGGGGCUCAACACUUGGACCUUCAUCACCUACUCGAACGGGGCAGCCAGCUACCUCAACCACCAGGAACACUUCCGACUCUCAGGCCCCCGCGGCAUUUCUUUUGCACAUCUCAGCUCUUUGCAGAUAACUGGAGCAACUGUGGACAAUGCCUCUCUAGAGUACGGCCUCUCGUCGGAGCUGCACUUCCCUGGCAGCAGCGGCCUGCAGCUGGAGAAUGCCAUCCAGUCAUACCUGGGCAACUUCUCUGUGGCACUCUGGCUCCGAAGCUCCGCCACUCGGGCUCCCAAGAUGUGCCUGGUCAGCUACUCCCUGAAGUGGAGGCGACCGGAGUUUGCGCUCUUCCUUCUCUCCCCAUCCGGACUGGAAUUCCACAUCAAGGGGUGAGCAGGGUUAUUUUCCCUACAACCUGCAACAUGAACUCUUCCAGAAGCACAGAGCAAACAUUUCAUUUCAGGUAGUUUCUCCCUCGAUCCACAUUCAGUUUUAAAAUGUUUUUAAUUUGGCUAUUUAAGGAUGUACAGUAGAGUCUCACUUAUCGAACAUAAACAGGCCGGCAGAACGUUGGAUAAGCGAAUAUGUUGGAUAAUAAGGAAGAAUUAAGGAAAAGCCUAUUAAACAUCAAAUUAGGUUAUAAUUUUACAAAUUAAGCACCAAAACAUCAUGUUAUACAACAAAUUCAACAGAAAAAGUAGUUCAAUACAUGGUAAUGUUAUGCAGUAAUUACUGUAUUUACGAAUUUAUUACCAAAAUAUCAUGAUAUAUUGGAUAAUCCAGAACGUUGGAUAAGCGAGUGUUGCAUAAGUGAGACUCUACUGUAGUUCUGUUUGAUUGUGCUUCAGUAUUAGAACUUUUUUUUUCGUGUCAGGAGCAACCGGAGUUGCUUCUGGAGUGAGAGAAUUGGCCGUCUGCAAGGACGUUGCCCAGGGGACGCCCGGAUGUUUUGAUGUUUUACCAUCCUUGUGGGAGGCUUCUCUGAUGUCCCCACAUGGAGCUGGAGCUGAUAGAGGGAGCUCAUCCACGCUCUCCCCGGGUGGGAUUUGAACCUGGCAGCUUUCAGGUCAGCAACCCAACCUUCAAGUCACAAGGCUUUUAUCCCCUAGGCCAUCGGAGGCUCCUUGCUGUGUUUUUAAUGACAUCUGUUUUUUUAAUCCUACCGCGAGCCACUUUGGUUCAGAGGACUGAGGGCAAGUCAGCUAUUAGAUGGACAAAAAUACAUAAUUAUUGAGCAGAUGACUCUGAGAUCUGAGACAAACAAAGCAAAGGCUGGGAUUCUCUAGCAGUUGGGUCAUGAAUUACCACUCCUCCUGCUCCUCUUUGGUGCUCUGUGCAUUUGGCCUCCUCGGUGAACUUGGAGAUUAUCUGAUAAUUGCCGCGAGAGUCCUGCAGCCUGUGUCCUCUUUGAAAUCAUGACUUCUGUCCUCUUCUCUGCAGGGCCACCCUGUUCAGCGGCACGCGUGGCUUCCUUCUGGACGGGUCCUGGCACCACUUGGUUGUCUCCGUCUCCAACG
ensembl:lncRNA